rnacentral:lncRNA from 10 species
CGUCUGUAGGGCUCAUCAGAAACACAAACAGCCCAGCGGGACAAACACGCUUGGAGUUGGCCACCCUGGGGCCACAGCCCAGCUGCCCCUGUCAGUGACAGGAUGUCUCCAAGUUCAAGGCCAUCAUCUCCAGGUGGAGUGAGCCAGAGGCCAAACACAGCACACGUUGUCUCUGAAAAGAAGAGGAUGGACCAGCCUAAGAAGGUAUUAAAAAUGCCAGGAGCCGAGAAGCCCCCUGCCCCGCUCCCAACAUUCCUUCAGGACAGUUUUGCUGACACAGCAUUCCUCUGGGCCAGGGUGAAGGCCCAAAGUCCCAACCAAUGAUGAUUUCCUGUUAACCCUUGGACUAAGGGUUGAGCCCUGGAAUAUCCCCCAGGGAUUCCGGAGGCCUUCUUCUUGCGUUUGUUUACAAUGCAUGGCCCUCUUCCUUGCCAAGAGGAAGCCCAGUUUUAUUUACAUUUCAGUGUCCCAGAGGGUGGAGGGGACCACCGGGCACCUUUGUCCCCAGGCUGAUUCUGGGCUGCUGCUUGCAAAUGAGGAAGCUCUAAACUGCCCAGAAGUCAGACACUAGUAGAAUUUUGAAGCUGGAAGGGGUGCCAUUUCACAGAUGGGGAAUGAGAGGUCUGGAGAUGCCUAGAUUGGACCAGGGCCUGAGCCAGAUCAUCCGGGAGGAUCCAGGGAUCCUGGCCUUGUCCUGCCAUGGACGGUCCCGUCCCCAUCAGCAGACUGGCGACGUGGACCAGACGUUUGCCUCGCACGGCUACUCGCCCUGGUGGUCAAGAGUAGGGCCUGGAGCCCGACGUCCUGGGUCUGAAUUCUGCUUAGCCCCUUUGGACGAAAACUUAACACUCAAUGCCACUUCUUUCCUGUAUGUGAAAUGGGGCUGAUCACCACAGUUAACCCUAAGCGCCUCGCACCGCAAGUCCCUCUGCUUGUUAAAUAAAUACAAUGGAUCUCUACACAUGCACAAUAAAGACACGGAAACAGUUAAUC